AGCUUUGUGCAGUGGCAGUAUCAUAGGCCAAUGAGGUUUAUCUGAGGUGUGAUUAUUGCUAAUUGAAAAGGAUUCAUCCAACUUAGAGAGGUUCCCACUGGCCACAUAUGAGACAAUAUGAGUAUC
rnacentral:snRNA from 2 species